UCAGUUUUCUGCAAGGAAGCAUGACCAGACCUAACAGCGAAUUUGAAUUCUCCAGAAAGAUGAUGGGGCCCCAUAGCAACAUUUCCACAUGGACAAUAAUAAUACUACUAAGCUGGCAAACAUCACCCAAAGAUCAACUUUGAACAACAAACCGCUCAGUACAAUUUCAAGUUAACUGGCUAAAAUGAUCCAGCCUCACAGACUAUUCAGGAUCCUGUAAAGAUGCCUUUGCCCAAAAACAGCAGGAAGCAAUUUUAAGAACAUGACACCCACAUUUCCAAGAGGAGUGACAUGUCUGCUCCUGGCAGCAACAAUCUACUUCAAAGAAGAUAUGGGUAUUGAAGAAAAUGCAUAUAGAGUUAACUUUCAUUGUGGCAAAAGUUAGCCAUUGGGCAAGAAAGUGCCCUUGCAUCAACUGCUGACAGUAUGCUAUCAAAAUAGACAAGUAGGACACACACACACACAAAAGUGUGUGUGGGGGGACUGCCAAUCCUUGCCAAGACAAGUGUGGUUGCAGCUUUGUCAGCAGACAUCCUCUGAGGCCAGGACAAUAUGGCACCAUCACUGAAAUGGCUUUGCAAUCUGGGAGAGGUACAGUGCCCCUUCCUUCAAAGGCAGCUGAAUAGGCAGUGGACUGAUGGCUCCUGGUGUGCAAUGGAAUAGUAGCUAGAACACUUAUUCUUGGAGAAGUAACUAGGCUGAUGGAGUCUAACCUCUCAAUGAUAGACUGACAUUUAAUAAAGGAAAUGAAGCCACCCACAAGCAGAGAAGAAUGGGAGAAUGAAUUCCAAAAAUACCAGAAAUUUCCAGAAUUUAAAGUCCUGAAUCACAACAUGACACUGGUGGAAUUCAAGUUUAUUUGGUACAUGGAAUACUUGCACUGAAUGUGAGAUCAAGCUGAAGGCCUUGUGUACAUCCUACUUCACAAAUGAGUCUGUCAAAUAUGCUAAGCCUAUAGGCCGAAGGUGAUGCCCCAAUGUUGCAGAGAUACCUCAGGUGACUAUCCAGGCAGCUGACUGUUUCUGUCAUAACUCACAUUUUUUGGAAGUUGCUUGUUUGCACUUCCUGUUUUACUAGGUAAUAUUAUUUCCUUCUUGGGUCUCUGAGGGAGUUGAAGAUUAGAUAGUUGUAGUUAGUUUUCCUUGUUAAGAAAUUCAGAAAAAAAAACUCACUAAGAGGAGUUAAGUGUGUAAGUUUGAAAGAUAUCAUAAGAUAGUUUUCUCUUGGUAAUACAAGAUAGAAAGUGACUCCCAAAGUAGGAUAGAGAAUGGAAUAUUUUCUCUGAAUUUGUCAAUUGCAAAUGGACUAGACAUUGUUGAUGUAUUUAUUGCUUGUAUAUAUUGUAUAUAGUUAUUGUACUUAUUGUAUACAGUUUUUCUUAUGUUAGUUAUAACUUUCUUUUAUUUUUAUUAGACAAAAAAUGGGGAAAUGUGAUGAUAUUUUAUUUGUGCUUUAAUAAAUAAAGCUUGCCUGGAGAUCAGAGGAAUAGGGACAGCCAUUAUAAGUAAACAAAGAAGUCAGUAAUGGCAGCACAUGCCUUUAAUGCUAUCACUUGGCAGGCAGGAAUCUGUCUGGAUCUCUGUGAGUUCAAGGCCAUACUUGAACUCACAGAAACAGCCAGGUGUGGUGGCACAUGCCUUAAAUUCCAACACUAGUUAACCAGGGAGGUCUGUAGGUCUGUGCAGACAGACAGGAAGUGACAGAGCUGGGCAGGAAGAGGAAGUGAUGUAACUGUGUGGAGAGAGGAAAUCAAUGGUGGAACAGCAUGGGUAGACAUGUGCAUGGGUAGACAGGAAGUCAUUAGCAUUUGGAAGCUGCUGAGUUCAUGGGGUAAGGUUAGCUGUGGCUUUCCCUAUUUACUUGAUCUCUCUUAGGCUUUCACCCCUGGCUCCGUGUUUUUUAUUUAAUAAGACCAUUUAGAAAUUCAUCUACAACUGCAGUCUCAGUAGCAGUUGAAAGCCCAGGAUUGAAGGGGUUGUGCAGAGAAGUUGAGGCUUGGUACCAUGAAGAGAGCCUAGAAGAGGCUAUUGGUAAAAGUGCAGUCCAGUUGCACCAGGAGAAGCUCCAGCAUUUGGAGAUGCCAGUACCAUGGUGGACCACUAAGAACAGCAGCAGUAAUGGAGUGGAGCCUGCCUAAGCUUCAAGACAAAGUCUGUUUGCUGCAGAGGGCGAAAUUGGAGAAGUGUCCCAAGUCCUUGGGAGGAGCCCAGAAGAUUGUUAGUAAAUCCCAGACAUUGGACAUUGCAUUAUUUACAGUAUUAUAAAUUUGGUUUUGCUUUGAUCUGAUUGUGACUGCAUCUUGAUUUUACCCUCUUGAAGUAGGAGAAUAUUUAACUUUGACAGGAUUCCACAGUUGAGAGAUUUUGAACUUUUAAAAGAGAUUUGGGAUUUUUACAGAGUUUAGAUAUUUUAAAGGGACUGAAUUUUUAAUGUGUUUAAAUUUGUAAAGACUGUGGGAUUUUUAGUGUGAGAACUUGGAGAAGAAUAAGAAAGGAAAUGUUGUGGCUUAACAGUGAUGUGUAGCGGUCAAUUGUGCUGAAUAGUUAUGAAUAGUUAUGUCAACUGGACACAACUAAAGUCAUCUGAGAAAAGGGAGCCUCAAUUAAGAAAAUGCCUCCAUAAGAUCAGGCUGUAGGUAAACAUGUAGGGCAUUUUCUUAAUUAAUGAUUCACGGAGGAGGAUCAAACCCACUGUGGGUGGUGCCAUCCCUGGGCUGGUGGUCCUCGGUUCUAUUAGAAAGCAGGUUGAACAAGCCAUGGGGAGCAAACCAGUAAGCAGUACCCUUCAUGGCCUCUGCAUCAGCUCCUGCCUCCAUGUU